rnacentral:rRNA from 1 species
GGAAUAUUGGACAAUGGGCGAAAGCCUGAUCCAGCAAUGCCGCGUGAGUGAUGAAGGCCUUAGGGUUGUAAAGCUCUUUUACCCGGGAUGAUAAUGACAGUACCGGGAGAAUAAGCCCCGGCUAACUCCGUUCCAGCAGCCGCGGUAAUACGGAGGGAGCUAGCGUUGUUCGGAAAUACUGGGCGUAAAGCGCACGUAGGCGGCUUUCCAAGUCAGGGGUGAAAUCCCGGAGCUCAACUCCGGAACUGCCCUUGAAACUGGAUCGCUGGAAUCCUGGAGAGGCGAGUGGAAUUCCGAGUGUAGAGGUGAAAUUCGUAGAUAUUCGGAAGAACACCAGUGGCGAAGGCGGCUCGCUGGACAGGUAUUGACGCUGAGGUGCGAAAGCGUGGGGAGCAAAC